UACGUAGGGGGCAAGCGUUGUCCGGAAUUAUUGGGCGUAAAGCGCGCGCAGGCGGCCGUUUAAGUCUGAUGUUUAAGCCCGGGGCUCAACCCCGGAUCGCAUUGGAAACUGGGUGGCUGGAGUGCAGAAGAGGAGAGUGGAAUUCCACGUGUAGCGGUGAAAUGCGUAGAGAUGUGGAGGAACACCAGUGGCGAAGGCGACUCUCUGGGCUGUAACUGACGCUGAGGCGCGAAAGCGUGGGGAGCAAACAGG
rnacentral:rRNA from 2 species